UUGGGAUCCAAAGAGCAAAGGCCGAAGGAGAGGAGACCCUUCAGCAAGGUUCAUUCCAUUCUUCCCCUCGUUUUCAACUCUCUCUCUCUCUCUCACUCUCAAUUCAACCUCAAUUCAAUCAAAAACUUAAACAAACUUCGAAAUCGGGCCAAGAAAGAGAAGAACCCCAGACUACCAUAAGUGAAACUAAACACCAACAGAGCUUCAAACCAAACUCAAACCUUAAGGGUUUGGUUCGGAUACAAUAAUGCUACAUUGCAGUAAAAGAAUUCGAGCAAGAAGAAGAGGAAUUUCGAAGUAAAUACCAACCUACAAGGUGGAGGUAGCAUUGUAACACGUUGAAUGUAAAGCUGAUUAAGAUGGAGCAAGAAAACCAGGGGAUCUUCAACAAGGGCUGGUAUGGAAUGGCCAUGGCUUGGUGUGAGACAACGUUUGGCAUGACAUUCAAAUUUGAAGACUUUGGAGGCUUUAGAGGCUUGGAGGGAUAUCUUGUGAAUGAAGACAAGUAGAAUAGGAUUUAGGUUUAGGUAGUUGACUUUGGUUACCGUUUGACCAAAAAGUCAAUAGUUGACCAAAAGUCAAUUGUAGGUCAAAUAUGUAGUUUUAUGUAGAAUUUUGUAAUUUGGAUUUUUUUAAUGAAACUUGAUGAUUUGUAAUAAAAAAUGGGCCUUUUGAAUGAAUUGUGUAACUGUGCUUUCAGAAAAUAUGGAUUCCCUCCAAAUUCCAAUUUUGAAUA